AGUAAAUAGAUACCCAGGUAGUCCACGCCGUAAACGAUGUCGACUUGGAGGUUGUGCCCUUGAGGCGUGGCUUCCGGAGCUAAACGCGUUAAGUCGACCGCCUGGGGAGUACGGCCGCAAGGUUAAAACUCAAAUGAAUUGACGGGGGCCCGCACAAGCGGUGGAGCAUGUGGUUUAAUUCGAUGCAACGCGAAGAACCUUACCUACUCUUGACAUCCAGAGAACUUUCCAGAGAUGGAUUGGUGCCUUCGGGAACUCUGAGACAGGUGCUGCAUGGCUGUCGUCAGCUCGUGUUGUGAAAUGUUGGGUUAAGUCCCGCAACGAGCGCAACCCUUAUCUUUUGUUGCCAGCGGUUAGGCCGGGAACUCAAAGGAGACUGCCAGUGAUAAACUGGAGGAAGGUGGGGAUGACGUCAAGUCAUCAUGGCCCUUACGAGUAGGGCUACACACGUGCUACAAUGGCGCAUACAAAGAGAAGCGACCUCGCGAGAGCAAGCGGACCUCAUAAAGUGCGUCGUAGUCCGG
rnacentral:rRNA from 1 species